UACGUAGGGGGCAAGCGUUGUCCGGAUUUAUUGGGCGUAAAGAGCUCGUAGGCGGUUCCGUAAGUCGUGAAGUCAAAUCUCUGGGCUCAACCCAGAAUCGCUUCCGAUACUGCGGUGACUGGAGUCCGGUAGGGGAGUGUGGAAUUCCUGGUGUAGCGGUGAAAUGCGCAGAUAUCAGGAGGAACACCUGCGGUGUAGACGGCUUACUGGACCAUCACUGACGCUGAGGCACGAAAGCGUGGGUAGCAAACAGG
rnacentral:rRNA from 1 species